AUGAGGAGCAAUUGGAUCUAUGUGACUAUCCUGGGGAUAGCAUGCCUGAUGAUUGGAGUCAAUGGGAACAAUACAACGAGUAGCAGCAACUCCACAGGAGGCUGGAUAUCUUCUAACAUGACCUCAAACCAAACCCAGACACGGCCUCCCAACAUAACCAACAUCCCGCCCCUAACACGGCCUCCAAACGUAACCACCACCCUGAACCAAACACGGCCUUCCAACAUAACCAACAUCCCGCCCCUAACACGGCCUCCAAACGUAACCACCACCCUGAACCAAACACGGCCUUCCAACAUAACCAACAUCCCGCCCCUAACACGGCCUCCAAACGUAACCACCACCCUGAACCAAACACGGCCUUCCAACAUAACCAACAUCCCGCCCCUAACACGGCCUCCAAACGUAACCACCACCCUGAACCAAACACGGCCUUCCAACAUAACCAACAUCCCGCCCCUAACACGGCCUCCAAACGUAACCACCACCCUGAACCAAACACGGCCUUCCAACAUAACCAACAUCCCGUCCCUAACACGGCCUCCAAACGUAACCUCCACCCUGAACCAAACACGGCCUUCCAACAUAACCAACAUCCCGGCCCUAACACGGCCUCCAAACGUAACCACCACCCUGAACCAAACACGGCCUUCCAACAUAACCAACAUCCCGCCCCUAACACGGCCUCCAAACGUAACCACCACCCUGAACCAAACACGGCCUUCCAACAUAACCAACAUCCCGCCCCUAACACGGCCUCCAAACGUAACCACCACCCUGAACCAAACACGGCCUUCCAACAUAACCAACAUCCCGCCCCUAACACGGCCUCCAAACGUAACCACCACCCUGAACCAAACACGGCCUUCCAACAUAACCAACAUCCCGCCCCUAACACGGCCUCCUAACGUAACCACCACCCUGAACCAAACACGGCCUUCCAACAUAACCAACAUCCCGCCCCUAACACGGCCUCCAAACGUAACCACCACCCUGAACCAAACACGGCCUUCCAACAUAACCAACAUCCCGCCCCUAACACGGCCUCCAAACGUAACCACCACCCUGAACCAAACACGGCCUUCCAACAUAACCAACAUCCCGCCCCUAACACGGCCUCCAAACGUAACCACCACCCUGAACCAAACACGGCCUUCCAACAUAACCAACAUCCCGCCCCUAACACGGCCUCCAAACGUAACCACCACCCUGAACCAAACACGGCCUUCCAACAUAACCAACAUCCCGCCCCUAACACGGCCUCCAAACGUAACCACCACCCUGAACCAAACACGGCCUUCCAACAUAACCAACAUCCCGCCCCUAACACGGCCUCCAAACGUAACCACCACCCUGAACCAAACACGGCCUUCCAACAUAACCAACAUCCCGCCCCUAACACGGCCUCCCAACAUAACCAACAACCUGAACCAAACAAUUUUUCCCAUCAUAACCACUAACUCAACCCAAACAAAGCCUCCCAACAUAACUAGCUUGACCCAGACACGGCCUUCCAACAUCACCACAAACCCAACCCAGUCAGGCCCCAUCACUGUAAUAAACAUUAUAACAAUGUCAAGUUCUAAUACUCAAUCAAUAGAAAUCACUGGCAGGGAUAACUGCAGGAGAGAUAGAGCAUGUUUCUCCGCUCCACCUUCCUGCAAUCCAGGUGCACAAGGUUCCUGCUAUUUCCUCUCCACAAGAGGAGUAAGCGGGAAUGCAAAUAAUUUUACUUUUGAGCUCAGUGGAGAGACAGAUGGUUACAUUGGAGCUGGCCUUUCUAGAGACACCAGUGUAAGAGAUUAUAUCCAGUUGUUUUUUUAUUAG
ensembl:lncRNA